UACGUAGGGGGCAAGCGUUAUCCGGAUUUACUGGGUGUAAAGGGAGCGUAGACGGCGAUGCAAGUCUGAAGUGAAAGGCGGGGGCCCAACCCCCGGACUGCUUUGGAAACUGUAUGGCUGGAGUGCAGGAGAGGUAAGUGGAAUUCCUAGUGUAGCGGUGAAAUGCGUAGAUAUUAGGAGGAACACCAGUGGCGAAGGCGGCUUACUGGACUGUAACUGACGUUGAGGCUCGAAAGCGUGGGGAGCAAACAGG
rnacentral:rRNA from 1 species